rnacentral:rRNA from 1 species
GAUGAACGCUGGCGGCGUGCCUAAUACAUGCAAGUCGAGCGAACAGACGAGGAGCUUGCUCCUCUGACGUUAGCGGCGGACGGGUGAGUAACACGUGGAUAACCUACCUAUAAGACUGGGAUAACUUCGGGAAACCGGAGCUAAUACCGGAUAAUAUAUUGAACCGCAUGGUUCAAUAGUGAAAGACGGUUUUGCUUUCACUUAUAGAUGGAUCCGCGCCGCAUUAGCUAGUUGGUAAGGUAACGGCUUACCAAGGCGACGAUGCGUAGCCGACCUGAGAGGGUGAGCGGCCACACUGGAACUGAGACACGGUCCAGACUCCUACGGGAGGCAGCAGUAGGGAAUCUUCCGCAAUGGGCGAAAGCCUGACGGAGCAACGCCGCGUGAGUGAUGAAGGUCUUCGGAUCGUAAAACUCUGUUAUUAGGGAAGAACAAAUGUGUAAGUAACUAUGCACGUCUUGACGGUACCUAAUCAGAAAGCCACGGCUAACUACGUG